rfam:Gossypium raimondii Chr05_contig_1157, whole genome shotgun sequence.
UAUUAAAGAUUUCAUUAAUUUUUACUGUUAAAAAUUGAUAUGGCUGACAGAAUAACCUUACAAUUACACGUGUCGUGCCAUGUAUACCUCAUUCUAACAUAUAGGGACCAGUUUUUAAUAGUAGAAAUAGAUGAAUUUUUUAACA